rnacentral:rRNA from 1 species
AACGCGAAGAACCUUACCAACCCUUGACAUGCCAGGACGGUUUCCAGAGAUGGACUCCUUCCAGCAAUGGACCUGGACACAGGUGCUGCAUGGCUGUCGUCAGCUCGUGUCGUGAGAUGUUGGGUUAAGUCCCGCAACGAGCGCAACCCUCAUCUUCAGUUGCCAUCAGGUAAGGCUGGGCACUCUGAAGAAACUGCCGGUGACAAGCCGGAGGAAGGUGGGGAUGACGUCAAGUCCUCAUGGCCCUUACGGGUUGGGCUACACACGUGCUACAAUGGCGGUGACAAUGGGUCGCGAGUCCGCGAGGGCUAGCUAAUCUCAAAAAGCCGUCCCAGUUCGGAUUGCACUCUGCAACUCGAGUGCAUGAAGUCGGAAUCGCUAGUAAUCGUGGAUCAGCAUGCCACGGUGAAUACGUUCCCGGGCCUUGUACACACCGACUGUAC